CAUCCUACAUGUGAUUCCUCUUUCCCUCCUUAAAGGGAAUAAAAACCUGCUGAGAGCUUUCCGCCAUCUUGGAGCCUGUGGCGGUCUCCUGGGAACAAGACUUCUAAAAGGCAAAUAUGUCUGGAAGGCUGUGGUCGAAGGCCAUUUUUGCUGGCUAUAAGCUCGGUCUCCGGAACCAAAGAGAGCACACAGCUCUUCUUAAAAUUGAAGGUGUUUAUGCCCGAGAUGAAACUGAAUUCUAUUUGGGCAAGAGAUGUGCUUAUGUAUACAAAGCAAAGAACAACAACAGUGACUCCUGGGGGCAAACCAAACAAAACCAGAGUAAUCCGGGGAAAGGUAACUCGGGCCCACGGAAACAGUGGCAUGGUUCGUGCCAAAUUCCGAAGCAACCUUCCUGCUAAGGCCAUUGGACACAGAAUCCGUGUGAUGCUGUACCCUUCAAGAAUUUAAACUGAUGAAAAGUAAAUAAAUAAAAGUGGAUUUCUACGCCUG